UACGUAGGGGGCAAGCGUUGUCCGGAAUCAUUGGGCGUAAAGCGCGUGUAGGCGGCCAGAAAAGUCCGCUGUGAAAACUCGAGGCUCAACCUCGAGAUGUCGGCUGAAACCAUCUGGCUAGAGUCCGGAAGAGGAGAAUGGAAUUCCCGGUGUAGCGGUGAAAUGCGCAGAUAUCGGGAAGAACACCCGUGGCGAAGGCGGUUCUCUGGGACGGUACUGACGCUGAGACGCGAAAGCGUGGGGAGCGAACAGG
rnacentral:rRNA from 1 species